rnacentral:lncRNA from 1 species
GCUUCAGACAUAUCAGGCAUAGACCUGAAAAUCAUUGUCCACCAUCUGAAUAUAGACCUGAAACAUCACCUUGUUAGGCAGAAGAAGAGGAGCUUUGCAUCGAAGUGACAAAAGGCCAUAAAAGAAAAAGUCGACAAACUCUUGAAGAUUGGGUUCAUCUGAGAAGUUUAUUACCCUGAGUGGCUGGCCAACAUAGUAUUUGUCAAAAAAGCAAAUGGAAAGUAGCACAUGUUUAUCAACUACACCAACCUCAAUAAGACAUGCUCUAAGGAUAGUUACCCUCUACCUC